rnacentral:rRNA from 1 species
UAGAACUAACGCUGGCAGUGCGUCUUAAGCAUGCAAGUCGAACGGAAUGUAGCAAUACAUUCAGUGGCGAACGGGUGAGUAACACGUGGAUAAUCUGCCUAUGAGAUGGGGAUAACUAUUAGAAAUAAUAGCUAAUACCGAAUAAGGUCAAUUAAGAUGUUAAUUGAUGAAAGGAAGCCUUUAAAGCUUCGCUUGUAGAUGAGUCUGCGUCUUAUUAGCUAGUUGGUAGGGUAAAGGCCUACCAAGGCUAUGAUAAGUAACCGGCCUGAGAGGGUGAACGGUCACACUGGAACUGAGAUACGGUCCAGACUCCUACGGGAGGCAGCAGCUAAGAAUCUUCCGCAAUGGGCGAAAGCCUGACGGAGCGACACUGCGUGAACGAAGAAGGUCGAAAGAUUGUAAAGUUCUUUUAUAAAUGAGGAAUAAGCUUUGUAGGAAAUGACAAAGUGAUGACGUUAAUUUAUGAAUAAGCCCCGGCUAAUUACGUGCCAGCAGCCGCGGUAAUACGUAAGGGGCGAGCGUUGUUCGGGAUCAUUGGGCGUAAAGGGUGAGUAGGCGGAUAUGUAAGUCUAUGUGUAAAAUACUACAGCUCAACUGUAGGAAUAUGCUGGAAACUGCAUGACUAGAGUCUGAUAGGGGAAGUUAGAAUUCCUGGUGUAAGGGUGGAAUCUGUUGAUAUCAGGAAGAAUACCAGAGGCGAAGGCGAACUUCUAAGUCAAGACUGACGCUGAGUCACGAAAGCGUAGGGAGCAAACAGGAUUAGAUACCCUGGUAGUCUACGCUGUAAACGAUGCACACUUGGUGUUAAUCGAAAGGUUAGUACCGAAGCUAACGUGUUAAGUGUGCCGCCUGGGGAGUAUGUUCGCAAGAAUGAAACUUAAAGGAAUUGACGGGGGCCCGCACAAGCGGUGGAGCAUGUGGUUUAAUUCGAUGAUACGCGAGGAACCUUACCAGGGCUUGACAUAUACAGGAUAUAGUUAGAGAUAACUAUUCCCCGUUUGGGGUCUGUAUACAGGUGCUGCAUGGUUGUCGUCAGCUCGUGCUGUGAGGUGUUGGGUUAAGUCCCGCAACGAGCGUAACCCUUAUUGUCUGUUACCAGCAUGUAAAGAUGGGGACUCAGACGAGACUGCCGGUGAUAAGCCGGAGGAAGGUGAGGAUGACGUCAAAUCAUCAUGGCCCUUAUGUCCUGGGCUACACACGUGCUACAAUGGCCUGUACAAAGCGAUGCGAAGCAGUGAUGUGAAGCAAAACGCAGAAAGCAGGUCUCAGUCCAGAUUGAAGUCUGAAACUCGGCUUCAUGAAGUUGGAAUCGCUAGUAAUCGUAUAUCAGAAUGAUACGGUGAAUACGUUCUCGGGCCUUGUACACACCGCCCGUCACACCACCCGAGUUGAGGAUACCCAAAGCUAUUAUUCUAACCCGCAAGGGAGGAAGGUAUCUAAGGUAUGUUUAGUGAGGGGGGUGAAGUCGUAACAAGGUAGCCGUACUGGAA